rnacentral:rRNA from 1 species
AUGGCAGGUACAGCGGGAGGCCAGGCGGCGACGCCGAGNGGACCCGAAAACCUGUCUCAGUUCGGAUCGGAGUCUGCAACCCGACUCCGUGAAGCUGGAUUCGCUAGUAAUCGCGCAUCAGCCAUGGCGCGGUGAAUACGUUCCCGGGCCUUGUACACACCGCCCGUCAAGCCAUGGAAGCCGGGGGUGCCUGAAGUGUGCAACCGCAAGGAGCGCCCUAAGGUAAAACCGGUGACUGGGGCUAAGUCGUAACAAGGUAUC